CCAAGGUCGUAAACUAGUUGUUUUAUCACUUCUGGCUAAUCAGUAAAAUGGCCUUGACUCGACAUCAGUGAUCCAGAUUAAAGGUGAUAUUCAUUUAUCUGCAUUUACUUUACCGCUGACACCAUGUAUGUGAGACGUUUGCUCGUUAUUCUGUGUUCCUGGUUUGUGCAAUGUACAAAGAGUCAGUCUGUAUCUGUCACUGUUGCUACAGACAAGGAAAUAGGAUCGAUAGAUGACCAUUUCGUUGGAGUGACCUUUGAUUCAUCCAUGCUUCCAAUAUCAAUUGAUUGGAAAGGACUUGAUUUCGCAUCGCAUAAAGUGCAAACACUUGCUAAAGCAUUGUAUCCGUGCUACCUGAGGAUAGGAGGAACACCUGGAGACUUCAUGACCUUUGACCCAACGGGUCAUAGGGGUACAAGUGCAAACUCCACUUAUACUGGUGCUAUGUGGGA